rnacentral:rRNA from 1 species
UCGAUUUGGAGUUUGUUGCCUAGAGUGAUUGGCUCCGAAGCUAACGCGAUAAAUCGACCGCCUGGGGAGUACGGCCGCAAGGUUAAAACUCAAAUGAAUUGACGGGGGCCCGCACAAGCGGUGGAGCAUGUGGUUUAAUUCGAUGCAACGCGAAGAACCUUACCUGGUCUUGACAUCCACAGAAUCUUUCAGAGAUGAGGGAGUGCCUUCGGGAACUGUGAGACAGGUGCUGCAUGGCUGUCGUCAGCUCGUGUUGUGAAAUGUUGGGUUAAGUCCCGCAACGAGCGCAACCCUUAUCCUUUGUUGCCAGCGAUUAGGUCGGGAACUCAAAGGAGACUGCCGUUGAUAAAACGGAGGAAGGUGGGGACGACGUCAAGUCAUCAUGGCCCUUACGACCAGGGCUACACACGUGCUACAAUGGCGUAUACAAAGGGAAGCGAAGGUGCGAGCUGGAGCGGACCUCCUAAAGUACGUCUAAGUCCGGAUUGGAGUCUGCAACUCGACUCCAUGAAGUCGGAAUCGCUAGUAAUCGUGAAUCAGAAUGUCACGGUGAAUACGUUCCCGGGCCU